CGAGGUGUAGCGCAGUUUGGUAGCGCACAUGGUUUGGGACCAUGGGGCCGAAGGUUCGAAUCCUUUCACCUCGACCA
rnacentral:tRNA from 1 species